GGACAACCAUCUCUGCAGCAAUCCACCAAUAAGGCCUGCCGUCAUGUUUGGAUUCCAGGCACCAUCCCUACAGUGAAGCAUGGUGGUGGCAGCAUCAUGCUGUGAGGAUGUGUUUCAGCGGCAGGAACUGGAAGAUUAGUCAGGUUUGAGGGGAAGAUGAACACAGCAAUGUACAGAGGCAUCCUGGAUGAAAACCUGCUCUAGAGUGCUCUUGACCUCAA